CUUGCCAUCACACCAUCCUCUCCUCCCGGCCGAACCCAAAACCGUCUGCUAAAAGCCCUAAAACCUAGUUGGAAAUCCCAUCUGGAAAUGUGACCGGCCGCCGUUAAAGGAGCUCCAUCUUCUCGGAGGAGCUCUACCUCUAUCAGAGAUAAAGCUUCUGGGCUCUCUCUCCAGAUUGAAGUAAAUAAGGAUGAAAUUUUUGAUAUUGAUACGACUAUGAAGAAAAGAGAUGUGUCGGGAUGCAAAUAAGUAGUCGUGCUCUGCCUAAGAGAAAAAUAAUUAUGUUACUUCUUACAAUCUGGCUUUAUAUUUUUAUUUCAAACGUUUGAUAUCAUUUAUGAUGUCUUUUAUAUUAUGUUGUAUUUUUAAUUUACAAAAAUAUUAUCUCAAAAAAAAAUAAUCACAUGCCAUGCAUCGCAUAGGGUUCUAAGCUAGUUCUAAAUAUAUUUGGCUUCCUUUGCAUUUGAAGACUUGAUAUAUUUCAGGAAUACAGGACUGUGCCACAUACAUCAAUACUCUUUAGCAUCUAUAACCAAGACAACAGCAUUAGAAAGCAACUAAUCCAUGGGAUGACAUCAAAACGUCUGCAGGAUGCCUGGCCUUUAUAAUCUUAAUGAAUAUUUUGGUCAUACUGAUGAUAAAGAGCUAUGCUGCAUUAGUUGUCUGCUAUGGAUUUUCUCAAUCCUCCAGUUGACCAAAUGUUUGUCCUUUACAUUGCUGUUCACCACGCAAAUUUUGAUUGUUUUGACUCAGGCACGUCAGCUGGAUUGGCUGCUUUAGAAAGUGCUUCUGUUGUAAAUUAUGAAUGUUAUGGUAUGAGUACUCGUGAAAAUAAAAGUUUCCUGAAACAGAAAGGCAAUGUUCGUGUAAAUUUUCAUUACUUCACUAUUAUGAACUUCUUAGAACUUUCCGCUUCA